GGCGGUCGGCCGAUAUCUUGACAUGCCUUAUGCUGGAUAGUGCAAACCUUGGUUUCAAACGAUUCUCUACAGAUAGAGGGCUGGGACCCCAUGUUGAACCCAAACCGGUUGUUUUUGAAACGCACACACACACACACACUCCUGCUGCUCCGUCACACCGUCACACGCACACUCAUGCACGCACCCUGAUUUUACCAUGUCUUUUUCUUCGGGACAGAGCUGGGUGAUGAUGUGAAAUACCUUUUCACAUAGUUACGGAUAUUACAGUUGUCUGCGCCAGACCCUAGCGUGAGAGAAAAGACCGCUCCCCCCCUUUAGUUAAAUGGAUAUAGGGUCCUGUUAGCCCUGACCAUUAUCCGUUUCCAAUUCCCCAUCGCAAAGUCUUUUGCCCGCUCC